rnacentral:rRNA from 1 species
UACGUAGGUGGCAAGCGUUGUCCGGAAUUACUGGGCGUAAAGCGCACGUAGGCGGCUUUUUAAGUCAGGGGUGAAAUCCCGGGGCUCAACCCCGGAACUGCCCUUGAAACUGGAGAGCUAGAAUCUUGGAGAGGCGAGUGGAAUUCCGAGUGUAGAGGUGAAAUUCGUAGAUAUUCGGAAGAACACCAGUGGCGAAGGCGACUCGCUGGACAAGUAUUGACGCUGAGGUGCGAAAGCGUGGGGAGCAAACAGG